CAACCAUAUAAGGUUGAAAAACUGGUUCUCAUAUGAUCUCUGGAGUUAAGCAACACUGAGCCUGGUUAGUACCAAGACUGGUGACUAAUUGUGAAUACCAGAUGCAGUAA